AACUUUCGACAAUGGAUCACUUGGUUCUGGCAUCGAUGAAGAACGCAGCGAAAUGCGCUAAGUAAUGUGAAUUGCAGAAUUCAGUGCAUCAUCGAAUCUUUGAACGCACAUUGCGCCCCUUGGUAUUCCGGGGGGCAUGCCUGUUCGAGCGUCAUUAUAACCAAUCCAGCCUGGCUGGGUCUUGGGCUUCGCCGUCUGGUGGGCCUUAAAGCUAGUGGCGGUGCUCGCAAGCUCUACGCGUAGUAAUUUAUCUCUCGCUAUAGGGUCUUGUUAGAUGCUUGCCAUCAACCCCAAAUUUUCUAGGUUGACCUCGGAUCAGGUAGGGAUACCCGCUGAACUUAAGCAUAUCAAUAAGCGGAGGCU
rnacentral:misc_RNA from 1 species